AGUGAACGCUGGCGGUAGGCCUAACACAUGCAAGUCGAACGGCAGCACAGUAAGAGCUUGCUCUUACGGGUGGCGAGUGGCGGACGGGUGAGGAAUACAUCGGAAUCUACUUUUUCGUGGGGGAUAACGUAGGGAAACUUACGCUAAUACCGCAUACGACCUUCGGGUGAAAGUAGGGGAUCUUCGGACCUUGCGCGAUUGAAUGAGCCGAUGUCGGAUUAGCUAGUUGGCGGGGUAAAGGCCCACCAAGGCGACGAUCCGUAGCUGGUCUGAGAGGAUGAUCAGCCACACUGGAACUGAGACACGGUCCAGACUCCUACGGGAGGCAGCAGUGGGGAAUAUUGGACAAUGGGCGCAAGCCUGAUCCAGCCAUACCGCGUGGGUGAAGAAGGCCUUCGGGUUGUAAAGCCCUUUUGUUGGGAAAGAAAAGCAGCAGGUUAAUACCCCGCUGUUCUGACGGUACCCAAAGAAUAAGCACCGGCUAACCUCG
rnacentral:rRNA from 1 species